AACUAUGGAUUUGUCUACCCUGAACAAGCCUGAUCCCAUCUGAUCUCAGAAGCUAAGCAGGUCGGGCCUGGUUAGUACUUGGAUGGAAGACCACUUAGGAAGACCAAGUGCUGUAGGCA
rnacentral:rRNA from 1 species